rnacentral:rRNA from 1 species
GCCUAAAGCGUCCGUAGCCGGCUAUGUUAGUUUUCGGUUAAAUCCAUGUGCUCAACACAUGGGCUGUCGAAAAUACUGCAUAGCUAGGGAGUGGGAGAGGUAGACGGUACUCUGUAGGAAGGGGUAAAAUCCUUUGAUCUAUAGAUGACCACCAGUGGCGAAGGCGGUCUACCAGAACAUGUCCGACGGUGAGGGAUGAAAGCUGGGGGAGCAAACCGGAUUAGAUACCCGGGUAGUCCCAGCUGUAAACUAUGCAAACUCAGUGAUGCAUUGGCUUGUGGCCAGUGCAGUGCCGCAGAGAAGUCGUUAAGUUUGCCGCCUGGGAAGUACGUACGCAAGUAUGAAACUUAAAGGAAUUGGCGGGGGAGCACCACAAGGGGUGAAGCCUGCGGUUUAAUUGGAGUCAACGCCAGAAAUCUUACCCGGAGAGACAGCAGAAUGAAGGUCAAGCUGAAGACUUUACCAGACAAGCUGAGAAGUGGUGCAUGGCCGUCGCCAGCUCGUGCCGUGAGGUGUCCUGUUAAGUCAGGUAACGAGCGAGAUCCCUGCCUCUAGUUGCCACCAUUACUCUCAGGAGUAGUGGGGCGAAUUAGCGGGACUGCCGCAGUUAAUGCGGAGGAAGGAGGGGGCCACGGCAGGUCAGUAUGCCCCGAA